GUUCGGCAAUUACACACUCCCACCCGUGUGUUGAAAGAGGAAGCUGGCGCCGAGCGGGCACAGCCCGCGCACAUCUGAAGAGAUGAAGGCCCGAGAGGACAGAGCUUUCAAGGCUGCAUCUUUAUCUCCGUUGAUUUGUCCUAAUCACUGGAGCAACAGAAGAAACACAGAUGGACAUGAAAGCGCCUGACUUGGCCGCCAGCCCCAAGGGCGGUGGGCGGCUGGUGUUUGCCCUCCGCCUUCGGUCCUAAGAGGAAACGCACGUUUUCACAAAACCAGGAUUACACUGGACGCACACGCGCCGCCGAGACCGACCGACUCGCUUAAGCCCUGAAAAUACGACGAGUCCUCGUCACGGCCCUCGGGACAGCACCCUCGCUCACGGCGCGCCGAGCCCCUGGCCCUGGCCCCGGGGCCGCCUCACCCAGAGCCCGUGCUGUCACGGCGCCCGAGCACCUGUGGGCCUGACCGGUCCCUGCUCUGCUGCUCUUGCUGGACACGGCGCUGCAGCCAGACCCAGGAGUCCAUCCCGGCCACUGUCCUGGCGAUAGAUAAGUCAGCCCCUGAACGGGGACCGUGUGGGCCACAGAUGGCCACCCUUCCCAAGGGACAGGGGAGGCGGGGAGGGGGAGGCAGGAGGAGAGAAGCCUCGAAGGCUGCCGGGACCUGGGCAGAGCAGACGCGCGGGGCCAGCCCGGCGGCCGUGGCCAAGCCCGGCGUGUUCUGCUAAGCGUCGCGUAAGCCACAGGCGUUUGUGUCUCUCAGUUCUGGGUCCCAGUGAGACUCGCCUCUGCUGGCGGCGCGGAGGGGAGAGCGAGGCUACCUCUCCCGACACGGGCACUAGCCUCUGUGGGAGCCCCAUCCCCAUGACCUCGUCUCACCCCGAUCACCCCCAAAGGUCCCAUGUCCGCACGUCGUCGCACCGAGGUCAGGUCCUCAGUACAUGAAUCUGGGCUCCCCGGGGCCCCAGGAGGAUCUGCGGGCGUCCUGACCCUGGUGCCCUGGAGCGUGGCCGGGCGGGGCGGUCACAUUCAGGAACUCGAGACCAUCCUGGAACUUCUGGCUGAGCCCUCGGUCCAGCAGCAGGAGUUCUGGCGAGAGGCACCAGGGUGGAGGCAGGGAUGGGGUGAGGCAGCCUUGAGCCGAGGGGCACCCCGAGCCCCCAGCCUGGAAGAGGCCGUGCAGGCGCGAGGCCUGCGGCUGCCCCGGCUCCAGGCCUCUGCCUUCCACCCAGGGAGGAGGCACGUCUCCUCGGCGUGGAGCCCCUCGUUUUGGCAACUUGCCACGACAGCCCGGAGACGCCCACGAAGGAUGACGCCUGGGGCUGAGCCCGGGUGAGGCCUCCCGCCUCCUCCCUUGUCCCGUCCCCGGAGGCCGAGCCGGGGCUGCAGCUGAACAGAGGCCCGCUCGGGAACUGAGUGAAACGAGUUAGAGGCUCGGGUUUUUGGUUUUUUGGGGUUUUUUUUUCUGACUUAGGAAAAAAUUCUGAAACUAGAUUUCCUGUCCUGGGCAGAAAAACAAGCAUCGCAGCCACCGCAGGGACCCGCCGGUCCGGGCCCCGCGCCGCCCAUCAUCCCGCCCAUUAAAACGUCUAAUCAAAGCUUGUGGUUAUUAAACUGCCCGAGGUUGGCAAAGGAAUAUCUUGUGGAUCCCGAGUGGUCGUCCCCUGGCAGCCCUUAGCGCUGCAGAGAUCUUCCCCGCCUGCCCACGGCUUGCGGAGACGCGCUCGUCCUGCCAUCGUGAAGCAGCAUCUGGUGCGUGGCGGCUCGAGGCGCGGGGAUUUUUCCUGGCGGCGGCCCCGAGUGACGAGGGUUUCCUCCUCCGUUUUCUCUGAGGUUUGCUCUCGCUGCCAGGGCUCUCGUGCUCCCGGAACCCAGCUGCGUGGACGCCGCCGGCUCCGGCUCAGGGUGGGGUGUUUGGGUUUGUGUUUUUCUUUUUUUCCUAUCUUAUCUCAAAUAGGGCCGGAUCCUGAUCAAAUUCUUUCUCUGCCUUGAUGAAGAUAAAAAUGUGAAACUUUCCCUUUGGCCUCUUGCUGCCGCAAACCCCAUGGCGAGGCUUCGCUUAGGGUUUUUGCAACUUGGUUCGGAGAUAAAAAGGCCACGGAGUAUUGCUUUACUCUUCUCUCCGCACUCGACUGAGAAAUGCAGACCGCGCCGGCCUCACGCAGCCAGCCAGGUCCUGAGCUGCUUCCCUCCGUUCCCACACCGCCCCCGAAGCGGAUGGAGCGCGAACAGCUGUCAGGGCAGGAGGACACAGGGCAGGCUCUCUACGACCCGAGCAGGCGGGGUCCAAUAUACCACGAGAAGCAAAAAUUUGCAGCGUCCAGGGGCCUCUGCCAGCCUCCGUGAGGCCCUCCCACGUCUCCCCCUUCCAGCUGAUGAAGUGCUGGCUCCGUGCCACAGCUUCCAGCCUGGAGCUGGACAUUAGAGGACAAAUGUCCCUCCCAGCUGGAUGGAUGAGCCGGGCGUCCAGGGAUGAUCCAGAUAGAGGGAGAUUUUGUCAAAAUAGAUGCCCACCAAGGACAGAAAACACCAGAGAAGCAAGUCAAAUGACAAAUAGGUGCAGCCAAGAGUCCUGGGAGAGCAAUGAUGGAAGACAAACUCAGCUCCCCACAGAGAGAAGCUUCUGGAAGGGCUGCCCUGCCUAGCUAGACAGAAGAGUGGGGUGGGGGCAGGGCACACUGGGGUCCCCCCUCUACCUGGUCUCCUUGAGUGACAGCCCAGGGCCACAGCCACAGGGGCAGGGGUGGGGGGGGCGCUGGGAUACGCACGCGCCAGUCCCCACGCCUGCGGGGAGAUGGGAUCCGCCUCGGGAAGUGUGACUCAAUUACUCGGGGAGGCUGGCCUGCUAAGCGCUGCUAUCAAUCUGAAUUAAACUGAGGGUUUUAACAACGCGGCUCUCCCAGGAUGCCUUCCCUCCCAGCCUCAUCAGCUCCCGCGCGGAGGCCCCGCCACAAGAAGAGUUGAGCCCAAGUGGGGAAGCGCCGCAUGCCUGCGUGUCUUGUUCCUGGUGGUUUGCGUGGAGAGGCGCGCGGGCCUGACACGCUCCUGGACACCUUCGGGUCUGGCCGACCAGGACUGGGAAGCGGUCAGGGUGACUUCUGCGGACCCCAAGCUCCCCGCACCCGCGGCCCAGCCUGGGGUGCGCUGGGGAGCGGCGCCCCGAGGUCCACGGGCCAGAGCUUCCCCGGAGAAGAAGAGCAGCUGCCCUGACACCAGCCGGGCGUGCGGUUGUGCCUGGAGGCCGGCGCCCAAGGCUGACCCUGACCGAGCCAGGACCCGCUGUGCGCCUGACACCAGCCGCCACAGUGCUCGGCAGUUUAUGCGCCUCUAAGAAAGACAAAACGCCGCCGAUUAAACUGACAUGAUGCUGCUUAUCGCUUGUAAUUUUUACUUCGCGCGUGUUGAGGGA